CCGCCCCUUCGCCUUCAGGUGCACCGAGGGCCGGUUACAGGCCUCAAGGCCCCGUGUGUUGGCCACUGGCGGCGGGGGCGGCUCCGCACCUCGCCGGUCCCUGGGCCUGCUCCACCGGGGGCCUUGGGCAGCCGAGGGCCGAGCACACGGGCCUCGUUUCGGCCUUGGCCGCUCCUGCCAGGCUCCCACCUGUCCUGCUCUCCUUGCCCCAGGCGAAGCUCGCAGUAAGCCCCCCAACACCUGCCUUACGUCUGACCCUGUUGGAUAAGGCUGUGGAGAUGUGAUGGCAGCAGGUUAUUUCCCACUGCGGCUCAUUUCCUUCCUGGGGGCAGAGACCGGGCUGGCGCUGCUCUGCCAACGGCUGACGCAGCUGGCACCUCCACCCAACAGCAAGGAAAUCUCCUGUAACCUAAACCUGAACACCCACGCUCGCGCUGCAGGAUCACGUGUUUCGUAUUCUUUGCGCCACAGUGCCACGUGUUAGACUCCGCUAGGAGCUGUACAGACCUAAGUCCUUUAAUAAAACGCGGCCUUUGGCACAUUCGACAUGUGGUCAUCAAAGUGACGUAUCCACAAUGAGGUCUCUUGGAAACUCUCACUGUCUGUGAAUGCUCAAAGAACACCGAGAUCAUGAAAGAUAUUUUUCAUCUUCAGCUACCGAUCUGUUCCUUUUUUUUUUCCUAUGGAUUUUGUGGACUUGAACCACAGGGGUUCUUGAUUUUUCGUAAGAUUCAAAAACUUUGCCAAGAACAAACGUCCUUCUAUCAAGUUCAACCAAAAACAUUAACAGGCCACAGUCACUGGCACAAAUGACUGCAAUCCCUCACUGCGUGUAUCGGCAAUGAAAUGGUCCCACCCAGGUUUUUCCAGAGAGUUGAGUGAAGAAGAAUAAUGGAAAAGAAUAAUUGGCGGAAAAGAUCGCUGCUGUUUCGCCUGCUCCUUACGUGCUGCCACCGAGACCGUGCCAGGCCUGUCCGGGAGCUCCCGUAUUUUUUAAUUUCCAAAACAUCGGCCGUGAAGGUACCAGGCGGUGCCCGGGGAAGGGGGACCCCCGCCGCCCCGCGGGCUCCGGCGGAGCGUGAGUAACGGGGACUCCCCGCCUCACCUCCGCCCCCCCCCCCGCCGCCCCCCAACCCCUCGCCGGCGGCGGGGGCGGGCCGUGAGCUGUCCGCCGGGCAGUGCUGCUCCCGGGGCCGCCCUGGACAGCUCCCGGCCGCGGGGCCGGGCCUGCACCCCCGCCGCCAGCCCGCCGCCACC